GGGAUUAAUACUCUAGGAUAGUGGACGUUACUCGCAGAAUAAGCACCGGCUAACUCUGUGCCAGCAGCCGCGGUAAUACAGAGGGUGCGAGCGUUAAUCGGAUUUACUGGGCGUAAAGCGUGCGUAGGCGGCUUUUUAAGUCGGAUGUGAAAUCCCUGAGCUUAACUUAGGAAUUGCAUUCGAUACUGGGAAGCUAGAGUAUGGGAGAGGAUGGUAGAAUUCCAGGUGUAGCGGUGAAAUGCGUAGAGAUCUGGAGGAAUACCGAUGGCGAAGGCAGCCAUCUGGCCUAAUACUGACGCUGAGGUACGAAAGCAUGGGGAGCAAACAGGAUUAGAUACCCUGGUAGUCCAUGCCGUAAACGAUGUCUACUAGCCGUUGGGGCCUUUGAGGCUUUAGUGGCGCAGCUAACGCGAUAAGUAGACCGCCUGGGGAGUACGGUCGCAAGACUAAAACUCAAAUGAAUUGACGGGGGCCCGCACAAGCGGUGGAGCAUGUGGUUUAAUUCGAUGCAACGCGAAGAACCUUACCUGGUCUUGACAUAGUAAGAACUUUCCAGAGAUGGAUUGGUGCCUUCGGGAACUUACAUACAGGUGCUGCAUGGCUGUCGUCAGCUCGUGUCGUGAGAUGUUGGGUUAAGUCCCGCAACGAGCGCAACCCUUUUCCUUAUUUGCCAGCGGGUUAAGCCGGGAACUUUAAGGAUACUGCCAGUGACAAACUGGAGGAAGGCGGGGACGACGUCAAGUCAUCAUGGCCCUUACGACCAGGGCUACACACGUGCUACAAUGGUCGGUACAAAGGGUUGCUACCUAGCGAUAGGAUGCUAAUCUCAAAAAGCCGAUCGUAGUCCGGAUUGGAGUCUGCAACUCGACUCCAUGAAGUCGGAAUCGCUAGUAAUCGCGGAUCAGAAUGCCGCGGUGAAUACGUUCCCGGGCCUUGUACACACCGCCCGUCACACCAUGGGAAUUUGUUGCACCAGAAGUAGGUAGUCUAACCGCAAGGAGGACGCUACCACGGUGACCCCA
rnacentral:rRNA from 1 species